CGGGCAGCUAAAAAGUCCUGCUACUUUCUAGUUCCGCUUCACUUUCUGCGCGGCGUUAGUACCGGAGAGCCGGGGGGGGCAGCGGAGCAUCGUCACCGGGGAGUCUGAAACACGGCCAAGUCUCCCACCAACUCCGGUCGGAGCCGAGGCGAGGCGGCGGUCUGCGGCGCGUCCAGCGGCCGGGCGCGGGGCUCCUCCGGGCGGCUUGUCUUCACUGCCGCCGUCGGUCGUGGUCCGGUUUCUUUCUUUUUCCUCCUCAACUCCGCUCCAAACUAAACGUGUUCACGUUAAAAACGUGCAGCUCGCGCUCAAGUCGGCUACAAUGGCCCGGUGACCGACUUCCGGUCUUGUCCAUACUGACUAUGUUGAACUUGAUGUUUCCCAAACCGGCCAUCGCAGACAAAUCUAUCACAGGAACCUGGAGCAACCCGCUGUGAUCUGCUGGACGUGGCGGUGUUUCUGCAGCGUCGGUGGACGUGAUGUGGCACGCGUCACAGGGGAAGGACAAUGUUUCUACCCACUGACCAGCAGGGGGCGACUCCUCCGGUUCCAUAGACGUCUAUGAGAAAAGGACUCUACUUAUCUUUCUAUU
ensembl:lncRNA